UACGAAGGGGGCUAGCGUUGCUCGGAAUCACUGGGCGUAAAGGGUGCGUAGGCGGGUCUUUAAGUCAGGGGUGAAAUCCUGGAGCUCAACUCCAGAACUGCCUUUGAUACUGAAGAUCUUGAGUUCGGGAGAGGUGAGUGGAACUGCGAGUGUAGAGGUGAAAUUCGUAGAUAUUGGGAAGAACACCGGUGGCGAAGGCGGCUCACUGGCUCAUUACUGACGCUCAGGCGCGAUAGCGUGGGGAUCAAACAGG
rnacentral:rRNA from 1 species